rnacentral:antisense_RNA from 1 species
GUGUAGUCGUAGCGGGCGUCGGGGUCCAGAAGGGCGUUCUCCCCGAAGUGGCCGCCGUCCGCGAGCACCGCGAGGGAGGCCUCCCCGCCGUACUUGCCCUCACCGAUCUGGCGGAUACGCCCGUGGGCGAUCAGAUGGAUCCGGUCCGCCGGGCUGCCGCGCUCGACGAUGACCUCACCGGCGGUGAAGUCCCGCUGUUCACAGCGGGCGGCGAGAGCGGUGAGGGCGCUCACGUCGUCGAAGCCCCGCAGCAGGGCCAGUUCGCCGAGUUCCCGGGGGAUCACACGGACCGUGGCACCCUCCUGCACGAACUCGAUGCACCCGUCGCCGACGGUAUGCCGCAGCCGCCGGUUGACCCGGUAGACGCCGCCCUUGGUCUCGACCCAGGGGAGCAUCCGCAGCAACCAGCGGGAGGUGAUCUCCUGCAUCUGCGGCGCGGACUUGGUGGUGGUGGUGAGAUUGCGCGCGGCCGAGGUGCUCAGCGACUGCUGCGGCGCGG